CAAUGACAACAGCAACAAACAGAUCUCCUCAAGGUAAGUCUGUUGGCUGUCUUUUAAUGAAGACCAUCGCUGGACUUCAGGAUCUUCCUCCGUUCAGCUCAAGGUGAGGCGCUGGUUCUGUUUUUUCUUUGGUUGGUUCCGGCUGGAAUGUUCGGAUUCCAGUCGGACGGUUUGUGCUUCCCGCCGUGGAAGGUUCUGAGUGUGGUCACUUGAUUUUAGUCUCAAUUGUUAGCCUAGAACGUUGUAGUCUUGACAACCAUAAGAACGUUAGUUGGACGCAAGUCCCCUGUGGGACUCGGGCGGAACCUUGUGGAUUGUAUUUGCGUAACAUCGAACCGUUGGCAACGGAAACUAUUUUUCGGUCCGUUUCCAUUGGGAAUUGUUGCCCCUUAUCAUAAACAACUUAAGUUUGAUAUUAGUACAUACUGACACGUACAUCGUACAAUAUGUUGAUCAUUUCCGAUGGUUGCGCCGUACUUUUAACCACGUUGAAGGGACUCUCGCUGCGUACAAAAGAGCGUUCUACUUGCGUUGCGGGCACAUUUCUGACCAUCAGUGAAGGCUGAAAAUCAUUUCAACGUGGAAGAUAAUUUGGCAUUUCUUCAAGGGAUCCCAGCACCUGAAUAUGGCUGAGUAUAUUUGAUUUAAUAUCGAUACUGCUUAGGGUUCUUUGGUACUUCAGCUUUUGUACGUUCUAAAUAUCUGGUGUCAUUAAUUGCCACAGAGGUUAAACCCUACCAAAUGGAAUAACGUUAAACAACGACUUUGGUGCUGAGUUACCAGCUAGAUAAUAUCAAAGCUAAAAUAAUGGCAGACUUUCCCACAUGUUACAGUAGAAGAAACUCUAGAACUGUACAAGGUUGAAAAAGGUAACAUGUCGUUUGUCCCAAGGUGUCGGCCUCCUCACCCAGAGCCAGACCUCCACCUCCUCACUCAGAGCCAGACCGCCACCUCCUCACCCAGAGCCAGACCUCCACCUCCUCGCCCAGAGCCAGACCUCCACCUCCUGUCAGAAGUCCUCCAGAACAGCUGAAUGGCGAGGCUGAGAGGCUUGGGACCGGGGGCUUGUGGUGCCAGGAUGGACCGGAGACUGAGGCUGGAGACCAGGGACCUGCAGCACCGGACCAGAGGACCAGGAAUCCAUGGCUGAAGGAGCUGAUGGAGGAGGCCGUGCUGAAGGCCCUGCCUGGUGGAGGAGCUGAUGGAGGCCCAGCCUGGUGCAGGAUGUCUGUCCUGGGGUAGAUGGAGCCUCACUCUGAAGUGACCGUCACACUCACUGCCACUUCUCAUAGAAUACUGCUACCACAAACUACCGGCGUUUGUUAAAAUACCAGACAACUACAUCUGUUUCACCACAUGUUGAGGCAAGACCUGCGCUGUUUGUUCCAAACCAGGACUCUGUCUGAGGAGAGCUGAUGGAGGAGCUGAGACGCCGGAGGACGACUAGGAAUCGAUCAACAAGGACUCCUCAACGUGUUUCUAGAGUGGAGGCGAGCUGGUAGGGGAGCCGUGAAUCUGGAGGAUGACCAUCACUCUACCAACAAGGAUUGUAUAUUUGUUUUAACCUAACAAAGUGGAAAUAAAGGGCUUAAAAAUAAGACCAACUACAUGUUUGUUACCAGACGUUGGGGCAAGACUUGCGCUGGUUGUUCCAGACCAGGACUCUGGCUGAGGAGAGCUGAUGGAGGAGCCAAGACUCUGGAGGACGACAUCACUCUACCAACAAGGAUCCUCAACAGGAAUCUGGAGGACUGACGGAGAAGCUGUACCUCUGGAAGGCAAAUCCUGAGGACAACAAGGACUCUACCAUCAAGAUUUCCUCGGGCAGACACACCUGAGCUGAACCUCACCUGAUCCUGUUUGGUCGGGGCCAGACACACCUGAGCUGAACCUCACCUGAUCCUGUUUGGUCGGGGGCAGACACACCUGAGCUGAACCCCACCUGAUCCUGAUACCCUGCUGGUCCCGUCUCAGUUCAUCUGAGCCUCGUCCUCCAGAAGACCUGCUGAGCUCAGCGGUCUGAGGCUGAUAGAUCAAUGACCUCCAGUGGGAGUGACCUUCUUGACCGCACAUGUACCCGUGUGCUUCCACACGUCCAUCACUAACCUCGCUACUUCCCUACUCUCCACUCCUUCCCCUUCUUCUUCCUUCUCCGUGGUUCGAACCUUUACUCUGAAGGAGUGCCUUCUUCAACCUUUACACUGAAGAAGCGUCUUCCUGCCCUCAGAGGGUUCAGCGUUAGGGUUUAGAGUCAGGGUUUAGAGUCAGGGACAGAGCUGGUCAGGGAGGAAUGGUUUUACACAAACCUCUUCACUUGCUUUCUGAAUGGUGGUGACAUUUUGAAAUGUUUCCUUUGGGAAAAUGUUUUCCUCUGCUUUCCUUUACAAAAAUAUGUAUCAAACUUCUGUAAAGUGUUUCGUUUAUGUAUUAAAAAUCCUACAUUGACUUCUGCAUGUUUGGU